GCUGGUGUUUACUGUAGGUGAUAGAAAGUAUAAUAUGGUGAAGGAAACUGUCUAUAGGUAUCUCAUUUAAAGGAUUUUUUUAAGAGAGCAAUCUAUGCAGCCUUCUUUUCCUCAUGCUCAAAAACAACCCCAGAAAACCAAAAAGCAGAAUAAUCUCAUAGAUAUCCAUCACUCUACCAAACUAAGAAGUGAAGACAAGUGAAGUCACUGGUUUCUUGUGAAACAGUUUAAUUCAUAUAAAAUAUUUUGAGCAGAUAUUUGGCAGGCUCUGGCACUAUUUAUGACCUAAAUACCUGUAAAACCUUACUCCACUGAACUGUGGAAGCUCUUGCUGUGCAGAGCUGAUGCUCUCUGUUGAUUUUCCCUCUUAGGUUUGCAAUAAAAAGAACCCAAACUUCAUGUUCACAGUUGUCUAAUCAAAUGGAUAAAUUGCUCAGAACCCAAGAUAAGAGUUGUGUUUGCAUCUUAAAAGUCCAUCAGCAGUCUGAAAUACUCCAUAAGCUCCAUAAAUCAUUUUCUAAAGAAAACAUUUACGUACGCAGUAAGCAUAAAAGUAGUUUGAAACUACAGGAGUAAAAUAGUGGAACUAAACUACUAGGAGCUGCAUCAUGCAACACCUAAAGCUGGUGAACACUCUGUUGGGUUGGCUAGUUGAAGGCUCACCUCAGUACACCCAGAGGAGCCCAGAGGCACAGCAGCAGCUGUGCGAACCCUAACAAACCAGUCAGAGGAAUAAGCCUCCAAUCUAGCCCCUCUUGGGGUAUCCCAGGAGGGUGUUAGCCCCAUGGACUGGGAGCGAGACCCACCACCACAAGUCAAUUAGAGAGGCUUUCUGGAGAACUUUGCAGACUGAGGAUGGAUACUGCCUGGAGGUAUAGGACUCCUUAUGGGAUAUAGAAUUGUAUCUUGGGAUUGUACAAAGGCUUAGUAUGGAAUGUUUAGGGAAAGAACCAAAUGUGGGAAAGGGGGAUCAAGGUUUUUGGGGAACAAAAAGCGGUAAAAGAGAGGGAUAAGGGGAUAAAAUGGGCUGGUUACAUGUAAACGUGGCUGGUCACAGCUGACCGUGCCCUGUGCCUGAUCAGCACAGUCUGUCCUGUCUUCUUAUUGCACUCCUUUUCUAACUUUUCCUGGCUGCAGGGCUUUCUCUGUGUGUAUGCGUGUGUGUAUGCAUGGGGGUCUACCUGCCAGCAGCUGGAGUCGGAACACAGAUGACAGGGGCUGAGGGCUUAGGGUCCCAGCAAU
rnacentral:lncRNA from 1 species